GAGCGGGUAGCGGGAAUCGAACCCGCAUCGUUAGCUUGGAAGGCUAGGGGUUAUAGUCGACGUUGAUUCAUCAUCUUUAACGUCUCUAAUUCAAAACCGAACAUGAAACUUUGAUUUCAUUCGGCUCCUUUAUGGAAUAUGGAAAAAUUUCCAGCUUUAAGACUUAAGCGAAAAAAAUUCGAGUCAUAACAUCUAUGUCAGCUUUUCUGUCUUAAUGGAUUCAAAACAAGACGCUUUCUAGAUGAUCCCUCUGGACGAGUGGGGUUUUUUUUAAUAAUCUUUCUAGUUACUUCGUUCUCUAUUUCUAUUUGAGAGAAUCCUUAGGAAAAGCAUUUUGUUUCCACCGAGCUAAAACAAGAUGCCGAUGUCUAUAGUAAACCAAAGUCAUCAUUUAAUGCUUAUUUUGCUUCAAUCUCGACUAUACAAAACAAAGAAAAAAUUGAAGAUUUAGUUACGAUUAGAAAUAAACUUUUCUGUCUUUUUCCAUAGAUCCCUU
rnacentral:misc_RNA from 1 species